UACGUAGGUGGCAAGCGUUGUCCGGAUUUACUGGGUGUAAAGGGCGUGUAGCCGGGCUGACAAGUCUGAUGUGAAAUCCGGGGGCUCAACCCCCGAACUGCAUUUGAAACUGUUGGUCUUGAGUAUCGGAGAGGCAGGCGGAAUUCCUAGUGUAGCGGUGAAAUGCGUAGAUAUUAGGAGGAACACCAGUGGCGAAGGCGGCCUGCUGGACGACAACUGACGGUGAGGCGCGAAAGCGUGGGGAGCAAACAGG
rnacentral:rRNA from 1 species